UGGGGAAUAUUGCACAAUGGGGGAAACCCUGAUGCAGCGACGCCGCGUGAGCGAUGAAGUAUUUCGGUAUGUAAAGCUCUAUCAGCAGGGAAGAAAAUGACGGUACCUGACUAAGAAGCCCCGGCUAACUACGUGCCAGCAGCCGCGGUAAUACGUAGGGGGCAAGCGUUAUCCGGAUUUACUGGGUGUAAAGGGAGCGUAGACGGCUUGGCAAGCCAGAUGUGAAAGGCUGGGGCUCAACCCCAGGACUGCAUUUGGAACUGUCAUGCUAGAGUGUCGGAGAGGCAGGCGGAAUUCCUAGUG
rnacentral:rRNA from 1 species